GGACACUCGAAGUAGCCGGUUGAAAUUGUCAAUAUUCCUGCUGCUAUUGUAGCCUCAAUUUGGUUUUAAUGUUGCAAAGAACGUCAAGGGCAGACAAUCUUGAGGAUCAAUGAUAUCUUUUGCUAUACUAGAUGAAUCACUAGUACAUUCAAACAAUUGAUACCUUGGACAAAAGAAGAGUUGACAGGUUAGAUGAAAGCUCAAUGCUAGCUAUCAGUUGAGUGACGAGCCCAGAUUUCUCUGUUGUAGUUAGG